rnacentral:rRNA from 1 species
CACGUAGGGUGCGAGCGUUGUCCGGAAUUAUUGGGCGUAAAGAGCUCGUAGGCGGUUUGUCGCGUCUGCUGUGAAAACCCGAGGCUCAACCUCGGGCCUGCAGUGGGUACGGGCAUCGCUGGAGUGCGGCAGGGGAGACUGGAAUUCCUGGUGUAGCGGUGGAAUGCGCAGAUAUCAGGAGGAACACCGGUGGCGAAGGCGGGUCUCUGGGCCGUUACUGACGCUGGAGGAGCGAAAGCGUGGGGAGCGAAC